AUUGGCAUACUUCAGUCAAUUUUUUCACCUAGACUUUCCAGAGCUUGGCUUUGAAAGAUCGAACUUUAAGAGCUUGGCUUUCAGGAGCUCGCUUUUGGAGGGUUGGUCUUUAGAGGUCGACUUUUAGGAGGUCGGCUUAUAGAGGUCGGCCUUCUCAGAUCGACCUCUGGCUUCAUCUUGGCAUCGAACUUCCCUUCAACCUCAAUCUUUCAUCUAAGCUCAAUCUCAAUCUUGACUGUUGGCUUGAUAGCUUGAUCUUGAUCUUGAUCUUUGCUUUAGUUCAGUCUUGAUCUUUGUCUCGGC
rnacentral:lncRNA from 1 species